ensembl:lncRNA
AAAAAUGUUUCCAUAAACGCAUUUAAUGGCGUAACUAUGUUACUAUUUCCACCCAGAAUAAAGAUAGUUUUCGGCCGUGGCUGCGCUGGAGUCCGAGCCGAGGUAGGAAACCCAAACGCCGCCGUGUUUGUGUGAUAGAGCUUAGAUCGGGUUUGAUUAAAUAAUCUCUGAUAUAAAUAACAAUAAUCGGGUUGAAUAACUUCACAUGGUGUGUCUGGUGUGUUUCCAGCAUUCGUAGUGUUGAUCAGCAGAGAAAUAGUCCGCCAAGACGUUGAGGUUGCUUAGCAUCCAGAGACUCUGUCCAUGCAAGUGAACGGAGUGUUCCCUCUUCGUCAUAACUAUCAAACCAAACAUCCUUCACAUUCACCGAGCGAACAUUAUGAAAGUAAAAUGCACAUUUCUCGCUUAAAAUGUUUCCAUAAACGCAUUUAAUGGCGUAACCAUGUUACUAUUUCCACCCAGAAUAAAGAUAGUUGUCGGCCGUGGCUGCGCUGGAGUCCGAGCCGAGGUAGGAAACCCAAACGCCGCCGUGUUUGGGUGAUAGAGUUUAGAUCGGGUUAGAUUAAAUAAUCUCUGAUAUAAAUUACAAUAAUCGGGUUAAAUAACUUCACAUGGUGUGUCUGGUGUGUUUCCAGCAUUCGCAGUGUUGAUCAGCAGAGAAAUAGUCCGCCAAGACGUUGAGGUUGCUUAGCAACCAGAGACUCUGUCCAUGCAAGUGAACGGAGCGUUCCCUCUUCGUCAUAACUAUCAAACCAAACAUCCUUCACAUUCACCGAGCGAACAUUAUGAAAGUAAAAUGCACAUUUCUCUCUAAAAAUGUUUCCAUAAACGCAUUUAAUAGAGUAACUAUGUUACUAUUUCCACCCAGAAUAAAGAAAGAUGUCGGCCGUAUGCUUCUCACGCGUUGGAGUUUGGCCCUAUAACC